GCAGGGCUAGUUUAUAAAGAAUAGUGAUUUUGUAAGUCAAAAGAAACAAUUAGUUGGCCUGUA
rnacentral:tRNA from 1 species